GGCAACAGUGCUGGGGCAAGCAAUGAGCACAGCACUGAUCCUGCCUGGGUCUUUCAGGACUCUGUUCCUCUAGGAGCUGGUAGGGGGACCAGCUGGGUGGGCUCAGGCAGACACAGUUCCUGCCCUGCUUGCAGCUGCUGCCCUAGAGCUGGUGCUUCAGAACCUCGCUCUUGCCUUCUGGGUGCUGUGGGAGCAGCACGGUUACAUUUCAUCCUAAUGCCCUUCAGCCCUGAGAGUGUUUCCACAGCUGCUACUUCUGGACCCCACCUCAACAGCAGCACCAUCACCUGCACUAAUCUCCCUGGGGUUCUGCCGAUGGGUGACUCACCUGCGGAGCCACUGUCACAGAAUCACUUUAUCAGGAGCGAGCUGACUGACAGAGCAGGAUUUUUUCAUGCUCCUCUAUAGAUGAUGAGAGGAACCACAGCCUUCCCGCUCGUCGCCCAUCCCUUCCGCAUUGCGCUGGGUUGUUUUCAAACAGACAUACUGGUAUCCCCAAGCCUUGAUUGAGUGGGACCCUGCCAGGAGGAGACAGCUGGGAGGGCAGAGCUGUUGAGGUAUAGUGCUUGGGGAUGAGCACCUGUGCACCUUGCACUGGGCACCCAUGUCCCUGGGGCAUCCCUAUCCCCCUGGGUUCCCAGUGCCAUGAGCUCAGCCUCUGCUGGGGCUGGCUCCUGCCCGCAGUGGGAAGGCAGAGCCAACUGCAUUGCCCAGCCCAGGGAGGGGAGGUCAGGCUGGGGCAUGAGGGUGAUUUCUGCCAGGGUUCUCUGCUUUCUCCACUGGGAACCAGUCUAGCCAGCGGAUGAGGAGCGGUGUCACUGGGCAAGCAGGGGACAUACAGGACACACCAGGCUCUGGGAGUUGCUCCCAGCCCAGCCAGCCGUGAGCAGCUCCUGCAGGAGGGCAGCAGGCACAGGGAGAUGGACCCUGAGACAGGACAAGGUCUCAUCAGUGUGUUCGGGUUAAUCUUGGGCAUUGGGCUGGCCUUGCUGAUCCUGAUCAUUUUUGGCUACGCCAUUUUCGUCUGCUACCAGCAGGGCUGGGGCUGGUGCCGUGAGUAUGGGCAGAGCAGGGGACAAGCAGCUGCAGGGCAGGGAGGGGAUAAAGGAAGAACGUUGGGAGCACGAAUGGCAUUUGCUGGUCCCCAAAAUCAGCAUGUAGGGUGGCUGGAGGUGCUCAGGGGGAAUGCACAGAGAUGUCCCAGUGCUGCUGGUCAUCCAGGUGGUUGUCCUGUCCCUUCCCUGUGCCACCUCACAGACCUCUGCAGGCACCACGGGGCCCUCUGACAGCCUCUCCUUCCCUCCUUCUCCUCCCAGGGCCUGACUUCAUCUUCAACCUCUACUCUGGCCGCAGCAGGCUGAGGUCAGUGGCAGUGGAGCUGGCACCUCCGUUCAGCAUCAGUGCCUCCGUGAGCCAGGCAGGGAGCGGCUACGUGCGCUUCCAUGAGCAGGGGCUGUGAGCAGCAGAGCAUGGUCCUGAUCCUUGUGCAUGGGGUCCCAGCCUCAUGGAGGUCCUGCAAAGCCUGGAGCAUCAUGCACGGGGCCUUCCUGUGGUGCAACCACAGACAGAACAAAGCUGGCCAUGGGGAAAUUUGUCUAUUCUGGGUUCUUUAAAUAACACCCCCAGAUACGCAGGAUUUCUACCAAAUUUGGAGCAGUGCUGUUUCUGUUUUAUAUCGAGCUUCUCCAUUCUCUCUCUGCUCCUGCGUUUCCUUCUCUGCCCCCCUUGGCCUUGGGCAGGGCUGGAAGAGAGCUGCUGCUGGGCAUGGGCUCAGCCUCCUCUUGAAGCGCAGGAAAAAGGGAACUGCUUCAUCCCAAGCACCCACCAUGCAGAGCAAAGGAAUCCUACGUUCCCCACUGAUCUGACAUCCCAGUGCUUAGGACUCCAGUUUGCCCAGCAGACCUUGGGGCAGGAGCAUGAGGAACCAGCCCAAAAGUGUGGCAAGGAGCCACAGAAAUGGAUGGCUGACUGUGCAAGAGGGGAAAACGCUGUAAGGAAAUGAGAACACAUCAGACUUCCCUUAUUCAAGGAACUGUGCCAAUAUGGAAAUUUCUCCAGUCUGUACUGACUGUGCAAGAGAACACUGCAGAAAUCCCCACUGGCUUUCUGGUGUGGGUCUCAGCAGCUCAGUGCUGGGCCAUUGGGCACAGCAGGACAGGUCCCCAUGGGGCUGAGCUGUAUGGGACAGCACUGUGCCCAGUGUGGCUCUUCCCUUCCCUGGGCUGCCUUCUGCUGCCUCCAUCCCCUCAAUGCUUCACACCCCCGGGCACGGGGCUCUGUCGAUGGGGAUUUGUUGGAAAUGCAUUGGAAAUGUUGGAGCAUCACUGGAAAUGCAUUCAGGUAUUGGAGCUGGGGAGGAAAGGGUCUUUAAAGGAGCAGUCCUGCCUCUGGCUCCCAGAGUAAGAGAUGUGAUGCUACACACUGCAUGGAGAGGGAGGGGGAGGAAAGAGAGCUUUGCAGAAGGAAUGGAAGUGGAACAUCCUCAGCGUGUUGAGCUGUGACUUCACCAAGGAAAAUGUGAGCGCCUGUAGUUCCCCCGAGCCAAAGGGGCUGUCCGUGCUCUCCGCUUUAGAAGCCAAAGCGUGUGGUUUUCUUGCAAAGCCAUCUGUUUCAAUGAAAGGAGAGGGGAGGGGGGAAUGUGGUGUCCCUGAGCCACAGCUGCUGCCUGCUGGAGCCUCCCACGGUGAGUGGGAACCGGCAGCACCCGGCACAGCCCCGGGGAUGGCCACAGAGCUUGACGUCAGGAGCGCAGAAACCUCACGCUUCUUUCUGAUGACUCUGACUUUCAGAGGAAGUCCAACCCCCAAAAUGAGAGAGAGAGAGAGAAAGAGAAAGGGGGGGGGGGGGAAAGCGAGCAAAAAAACCCCAACUUCAAGGAAAAAAGAAUGUGGAAGUGGAAGGAGGAGGGAUGGGGGCACCCGCGGGGGCUGCAAAGCGCAUCUGAACCCCACAGUGUUGUUGUAUGCUGUGGGUGAAUGCCUGUAUUUGAGAACAGAAAUCACAACCCAGCCUUAGAUGAGGAGAAAUGACGAGCGGAGCGAAGAAAUGAUGCUUCAUCCCGUUCUGUAUUUACAAAUUAAAUAGAAUAAAUAGUAUCUGUACAUGAA